AAGACCUUGCGCUUUUGGAGCGGCCGAUGCCUGAUUAGCUUGUUGGUAAGGUAAAAGCUUACCAAGGCUUCGAUCAGUAGCUGGUCUGAGAGGACGACCAGCCACACUGGGACUGAGACACGGCCCAGACUCCUACGGGAGGCAGCAGUGGGGAAUUUUGGACAAUGGGGGCAACCCUGAUCCAGCCAUGCCGCGUGAGUGAAGAAGGCCUUCGGGUUGUAAAGCUCUUUCAGCCGGAACGAAACGGUUACGGAUAACACCCGUGACUACUGACGGUACCGGAAGAAGAAGCACCGGCUAACUACGUGCCAGCAGCCGCGGUAAUACGUAGGGUGCGAGCGUUAAUCGGAAUUACUGGGCGUAAAGCGUGCGCAGGUGGUUUUGUAAGUCAGAUGUGAAAGCCCCGGGCUCAAUCUGGGAACU
rnacentral:rRNA from 1 species